GAUGAACGCUGGCGGCGUGCCUAAUACAUGCAAGUCGAGCGAAUGGAUUAAGAGCUUGCUCUUAUGAAGUUAGCGGCGGACGGGUGAGUAACACGUGGGUAACCUGCCCAUAAGACUGGGAUAACUCCGGGAAACCGGGGCUAAUACCGGAUAACAUUUUGAACCGCAUGGUUCGAAAUUGAAAGGCGGCUUCGGCUGUCACUUAUGGAUGGACCCGCGUCGCAUUAGCUAGUUGGUGAGGUAACGGCUCACCAAGGCAACGAUGCGUAGCCGACCUGAGAGGGUGAUCGGCCAGACUGGGACUGAGACACGGCGCAGACUCCUGCGGGAGGCAGCAGUAGGGAAUCUUCCGCAAUGGACGAAAGUCUGACGGAGCAACGCCGCGUGAGUGAUGAAGGCUUUCGGGUCGUAAAACUCUGUUGUUAGGGAAGAACAAGUGCUAGUUGAAUAAGCUGGCACCUUGACGGUACCUAACCAGAAAGCCACGGCUAACUACGUGCCAGCCGCCGCAGUAA
rnacentral:rRNA from 1 species